rnacentral:rRNA from 1 species
GUGGGGAAUAUUGGACAAUGGGCGAAAGCCUGAUCCAGCCAUGCCGCGUGUGUGAAGAAGGUCUUCGGAUUGUAAAGCACUUUAAGUUGGGAGGAAGGGCAGUAAGUUAAUACCUUGCUGUUUUGACGUUACCGACAGAAUAAGCACCGGCUAACUUCGUGCCAGCAGCCGCGGUAAUACGAAGGGUGCAAGCGUUAAUCGGAAUUACUGGGCGUAAAGCGCGCGUAGGUGGUUUUGUAAGUUGGAGGUGAAAUCCCCGGGCUCAAACUGGGAACUGCCUCCAAAACUGCAUGACUAGAGUACGGUAGAGGGUAGUGGAAUUUCCUGUGUAGCGGUGAAAUGCGUAGAUAUAGGAAGGAACACCAGUGGCGAAGGCGACUACCUGGACUGAUACUGACACUGAGGUGCGAAAGCGUGGGGAGCAAACAGGAUUAGAAACCCUAGUAGUCC